rnacentral:rRNA from 1 species
AGUGGAUGGGGAGCAACCUAGUUGUGCGUGUGUAAAGGUAGUGCCAAGAAAAGCGAUGAUCAUGUUGAAAAUCAAUUCCCGGUACCCGAAACCGACACAGGUGGGCAAGUAGAGAAUACUAAGGGGCGCGAGGUAACUCUCUCCAAGGAACUCGGCAAAAUGACCCCGUAACUUAGGGAGAAGGGGUGCCACCGAGAGGUGGUCGCAGUGAAGAGGCCCAGGCGACUGUUUAGCAAAAACAUAGGUCUCUGCAAACUCGAAAGAGGAGGUAUAGGGGCUGACGCCUGCCCAGUGCCGGAAGGUUAAAGAAGUUGGUCAGUCUUAGGAUGAAGCUAGCGACUGAAGCCCCGGUGAACGGCGGCCGUAACUAUAACGGUCCUAAGGUAGCGAAAUUCCUUGUCGGGUAAGUUCCGACCCGCACGAAAGGCGUAACGAUCUGGGCGCUGUCUCGGAGAGAGGCUCGGCGAAAUAGGAUUGUCUGUGAAGAUACGGACUACCUGCAUUUGGACAGAAAGACCCUAUGAAGCUUUACUAUAGCUUGGAAUUGUGUUCGGGCUUCCUGUGCGCAGGAUAGGUGGGAGGCGUAGAAGGUAUUCUUGUGGGGAUACUGGAGCCAACGGUGAGAUACCACUCUCAGGAGGCUAGAAUUCUAACUUAAUUAAGGACAGUUUCAGGUGGGUAGUUUGACUGGGGCGGUCGCCUCCAAAAAGGUAACGGAGGCGUACAAAGGUUCCCUCAGACUGGUUGGAAAUCAGUCGAAGAGUGCAAAGGCAGAAGGGAGCUUGACUGCGAGAAGUACAGUUCGAGCAGGGUGGAAACACGGUCUUAGUGAUCCGACGGUGCUGUGUGGAAGGGCCGUCGCUCAACGGAUAAAAGUUACUCUAGGAUAACAGGCUGAUCUCCCCCAAGAGUUCACAUCGACGGGGAGGUUUGGCACCUCGAUGUCGGCUCAUCGCAACCUGGGGCGGAAGUACGUCCCAAGGGUUGGGCUGUUCGCCCAUUAAAGCGGUACGUGAGCUGGGUUCAGAACGUCGUGAGACAGUUCGGUCCAUAUCCGAUGUAGGCGUGAGAAUAUUGAGAGGAGCCUUCCUUAGUACGAGAGGACCGGGAAGGACGCACCGCUGGUGUACCUGUUAUGAUGCCAAUUGUAAACGCAGGGUAGCCAAGUGCGGAGAGGAUAACCGCUGAAAGCAUCUAAGUGGGAAGCCCACCUCAAGAUGAGUAUUCUGGUGUAAGGUCACGGGAAGACGACCCGUAAAUAGGCACGAGGUGGAAGUGCAGAGAUGUAUGAAGCCGAAGUGUACUAAUAGACCGUCGGCUUGAC